rnacentral:rRNA from 1 species
UACGUAGGGAGCAAGCGUUGUUCGGAUUUACUGGGCGUAAAGGGCGCGUAGGCGGCGUGGUAAGUCACUUGUGAAAUCUCUGAGCUUAACUCAGAACGGCCAAGUGAUACUGCAGUGCUAGAGUGCAGAAAGGGCAAUCGGAAUUCUUGGUGUAGCGGUGAAAUGCGUAGAUAUCAAGAGGAACACCUGAGGCGAAGGCGGGUUGCUAGGCUGACACUGACGCUGAGUGCGCGAAAGCCAGGGGAGCAAACGGG